rnacentral:sRNA from 23 species
CUUCAGCGGGGGGCUUAUCGAUGCAUCCCCACCCCAUCCCUCGAGAUAAGAUCCCCCGCUGGCCCUC